rnacentral:rRNA from 1 species
UACGUAGGGGGCAAGCGUUGUCCGGAUUCAUUGGGCGUAAAGAGCGUGUAGGCGGCUAGGUAGGUCCGUUGUGAAAACUCGAGGCUCAACCUCGAGACGUCGAUGGAAACCAUCUGGCUAGAGUCCGGAAGAGGAGAGUGGAAUUCCUGGUGUAGCGAUGAAAUGCGCAGAUAUCAGGAAGAACACCCGUGGCGAAGGCGGCUCUCUGGUACGUGACUGACGCUGAGACGCGAAAGCGUGGGGAGCGAACAGG